UUCCUGCAUUUGGCGAGGUCUUUGUCUCUCGCUGGCGCUGGCACAGGAGCUUGGGAUCCGUCUCCUCUUUCGCCUCCUCCACCUUGGGAGCCCCGGGCUACUCUCUCACAGCCCUUGUUGCCCUGUGAUCUGAAGGUCCUUGGGGACGCAUAGUUAAGGUGCCAGGACAUCCUGGAAGCUGGGAAAUGAUUGUUGCAGUGUCAGGACCAAGGUCAAAUGAGUUAUAGCCAAGUCUACAGUAAGAUGUGGCAGUAUUCUGUUUUGAAGCCGGGACCAUGAUUGGGCGGGGAGACCUUCCUUCCCCACGGGUUUGAGGCUAUGGCUAAGUGGUGAGCCUUGGGGAGAUGCAGAAAGGAUCCAUCCCAGGCACUUGGCUAGAGAUCAAACCUGUUGUUGGACUUUCUAGUGACUCUCUAAAUUCAGGUAUUUUACUUUUCAGCUCCACACUUUAUGUUUCUAUUUUGUACUUUUAAUCACUUCGUUGAUUAUCUCAUUAUCUUCAUGCGUUGUUUUCUUUUUCUGUUUAGUUUUCUAUGUUCUUCUUUAGCUGACUGAGCAUCCUUAAGCUAGGUGUUUUAGCUAGGCACAAUGACAUGUAUGUCUAAUUCCAGCUACUUUGAAAGCUAAGGCAAGAGGAUUUCUGUAUUAAUAAAUUCUCAUGCAGCUAAUAAAGACAUAACCAAGACUAGAUAAUUCAUAAUGAAAAAGGUUAAUGACCUCACAGUUUCACAUGGCUGGGGAGGUCUCACAAUUAUUGGAGCAAGCAAGAGACUUUGUUCAGGGAAAUCUCCACUUAUAAAACCAUCAGAUCACAUGAGACUUAUUUGCUAUCAUGAGAACAUCACAGGAAAAUCCCACCCCCAUGAUUCAAUUACCUCCCACAGGGUCUCUCCCAGGACAUGUGGAGAUUAUUACAAUUCAAGGUGAGAUUUGGUUGGGGACACAGAGCCAAACAAUAUCAAUUACUUAAGGCCAGGAGUUUGAGACCAACCUGGGCAAUACUGUGAGAAGCUAUAUGUAAAAAAUAUUUUUACAGAUUAGUCAUGCAUGGUGGAAUGUUCCUGUAGUCUCAGGAAGUUGGAGGCUGAUGUAAGAUUAUUCCUUGAGCUCCCAGGAAUUUGAGGCUGCAUUGAGCUAUAACCAUGGUACUGUAUUCCUGUCUGGGUGAGAGAGUAAGACCUCUUUUUAGAAUUUCAAAUUUGUUUUAGAUUUAGGAGGUACCUACACAGGUUUUUUACAUGGGUAUUUUGUAUAAUGCUGAGGUUUGAAGUAUAAGUAAUUCCAUCACUUAUGCAGUGAGCAUAGUACUAAAUAGACAGUUUUUCAGUUCUUGAUCCCUCCCUCUCUCCACCCUCUAAGAGUUGUCUAUUAUUUUUAUUUUUAUGUCCGUGUGUACCCAGUGUUAAUUUCCAUUUAUAAGUGAGAACAUGCAGUAUUUUCGUUUUGCAUUUCUGCAUUAAUUUGCUUUGUAGAAUGACCUUUAGUUGCAUUAAUGUUGCUGCAAAUGACAAGUUUUUUUUUUUUUUUUUUUUUUGCUAAGUAGUAUUUCUGUACAAGUGACACUUUUUAAAUUCAAUUUACCAUUAAUAGGCUGGACACGGUGGCUGAUGCCUGUAAUCCUAGCACUGUGGGAGGCCAAGGUGAGUGGAUCAUGAGGUCAGGAGAUCGAGACCAUCCUGGACAGCAUAAUGAAACCCGGUCUCUACUGAAAAUACAAAAGUUAGCCGGGCGUGGUGGCAUGUGCCUAUAGUCCCAGCUACUCGGGUGGCUGAGGCAGAAUAAUUCCUUGAACCUGGGAGGUGGAGGUUGUAGUGAGCUGAGAUCAUGCCACUGCACUCCAGCCUGGGAAACAGAGUGAGAAUUCAUCUAAAAAAAAAAAAAAAAAAUUACCAUUAAUAGGCACCUAGGUUGAUUUAUGACUUUCCUAUUAUAAAUAAUGCAGCGAUGAACCAACAAGUGCAUGUGCUAUUUUGGUAGAAUAAUUUAUUGUCUUUCUGGUAUAUACACAGUGGAGAAAUUGCUGGGUUGAAUCAUAGUUCAAUUCUCAGUUAUUUGGAAAAUCUGCAAGCUGCUCUCCACAGUGGCUGAACUAAUUUAUAUUCCUAUUAACACUGUAUCAGUGGUUUUUUUCCCUCUAAAAUCUCAUCAACAACUACUAUCAUUUUACUUUUUAACAAAAGCCAUUCUAACUGUUGUAUGAUGGUGUCUUAUUGUGGUUUUUAUUUACAUUUCCUUGAUGGUUAGUGAUGAUAAUAUUUUUUCACGUUAUUUGGCUACUUGUAUGUAUUCUUUUGAACAGUGUCUGUUAUUGUCCACUUUUUCAUGGGGUAAUUUUUUGCUUGUGAAUUCUUUAAGUUUCUUAUAGAUUCUGAGUAUUAGAUUUUGUCAGGUUCAUUGGUUGUGAAAAUUUUUCCCAUUCUGCUAUCUUUGGGGUUAGUUUGUUUUUAUUUUUCUAGUUUCUCUAAGUGUGAUGUUAAAUUGUUAGUUUGAGAUCUUUCCAACUUCUUGAUGCAGGUAUUUAGCACUCUCAACUUUCCUCUUAACAGUGCUUUCCCUACAACCCAGACAUUUUGGUAAAUUGUGUCUCUUAAUUUAUUUCAAAAUUUUUUUAAAGUUUCUGCCUUAAUUUUGUUAUUUACCCAAAAUUCACUCAGGAGCAAGUUGUUUAAUUUCAAUGUCAUUCUGUGAUUUUGUGAGAUUUUCUUGGUAUUGAUUUUUAUCUUUGUUCCAUUGUGGCCUGACAGUAUGGUUGGCAUAAUUUUCAUUUUUAAAAAAUGUAUGGAUAAUUGCUUUAUGGCUAGGAAGUGGUCAAUCCUAGAGUAUAUUCUGUGAGUGAUGAGAAGAAUUUAUGUUCCUUAGAUGAUGUGUGGCUUAGCUAUAAGUGUCUAUUAGUUUCAAUUGAUCAAGCCUGAAAUCAAACUCCAGAAUUUCUUUGUUAAGUUUCUGCCUAGAUAAUCUGACAAACACUGUUAGUGGGGAGUUGCAUUCUCCUACUAUUAUUGUGUGGCUACUUGAGUCUUAUUGUAGGUCUAGCAGUACUUGUAUAACUCUAUGUUCCCCAAAGUUGGGUGCAUCUACAUUUAGGAUAGUUAAGUCUUCUUGUUGAAUUGAACCCUUUAUCAUUAUGCAAUGCCUUUCUUUGUUUUAUUUUACUAUUAAUGAUUUAAAGUCCUUUUUUCUUAAAAGAGAAACAAUUCCAGGUAUGGUGGCUCAUCCCAGCACUUUCAGACUGAGGCAGUAGGAUUGCCUGAGACCAGGAGUUUGAGACCAACUGAGGCAACAUAACAACAUUCUGUUUGUACAAAUUUUUUUAAAGAAACUACACAGGUGUGGUAGUGUGCAGAACUGUGGUCAUAUUUACUCAGGAGACAUAGGCGGCAUGACUGCUUGACUUCAGAAAUUUGUGGUUACAGUGAGCUGUGAUUGCACCACUUCACUCUGUCCCAGGAUAUAGAGUAAGAUCCUGUGUAUAAAAUGAAAAAAUAAAGAAAAAUAAAAUUAUUUUAAGUUAAAAAUAAAUUCAUAGAUCUCCACUUCUUUUGGUUCUCUUGAAUAUAUAUUUUUCUCAUUAGAUUAGGCUAUAUUUCCUGGUUGCUUUUACAUACUGUGGUUUUGUUAAGGUUUUGGUCAAUUAAGAAACCACUACCUAUUUUAUCCUUUAUGAAAUAGCUUUGUACAUGGGAAAAUUGACAACAUUCUGCCACACUAGUCAUUCUGGGAGCUUCUCCAAUCUGUUGUCAAAAUGUGUCUUCGUUGGACUAGUGUAUGUAUUUUCGUGUUAAUAAGGUUUACCUCUGUUUCCUUUUAGGAGCCUUUAGCCUCUUCCCUUUGUCACUGUUACAGGCACUACCAUCUCUGUUGUUGUAAGAAAUAUUUAUCUUUAUUCUCAGUUGACCCAAGCUGUCAUUUAAACUCUAUCUCUAUUCUGGUCAACAUUAAAUGUUAAAGGAAGCAAUAUCCAGUCUUUGGAGAACCCCGGUAUGACUCAAUAAGUCAGAAGUUUGCAUACACAUUUCACCCUUUUUUCUUUCCCGAGGGAGAAUCAUAGAAUGGACAGAUUUUUAUCUAACUGCACUGUUCUGUAGUGCACAAAUGUAACCAAAUUUUCUUUCUUCUAAAUGUGGUUAUGGUUGGCUUUUUUCUGAUGUGGGGUGCUACAAACUCAACUGGCUUUGCUCGCCCAAUUGUAGUUAAGUUCAUACAUCCAUUGAGAGAAACAGGAUCUCAGGUUCUGCUUCAACUGUCAUUGUGUUCUCAGCUGGCCUCAUUUUGUACAUUCGAUUUAUAAAAUAUAUUUUCCUUAAUCUCAUAACUGAAUUUUUUAAAAAAUUAAUAUUUUUCAGCUCUUUUAGCAUUAUAUCCAACCAAGACCCAGAGAAAACAGUACAUAGAAGCUUCUUUUCAAAAAGUACUAUUGGGAAGAUCUGGGAGCCCUGGCCUUGAAAAUUUACACGUAAGGAAAGUGGGAAAUUGAAGGAUAAGUGUAAAGGGCACAAAGGAUGUUAUGAUGAAUAUACCAGAUAUACAGCAGCUACCUACAGCAAAAAUGUCACUGCUAGAAGAGCUCAAAACCAUAAAGUAUUUUGGAAAAAGCAUAAUUAAUGUUGAUACUUUUUUCUGAACUAUAUAUUUGUAUAAUUACAUAUCAAUAACGAUUUUUGAAACAUAUCAUGUUUUUGAAACAAAAUUUAGAAAAUGUAAAUAGUGGCCUAGACCGGGAAUAUUUCUCCUAAUGCUAUCCCUCCCAUAGUCCCCCACUUCCUGACAGGCUCCAGUGUGUGGUGUUCCCCUUCCUGUGUCCAUGUGUUCUCUUUGUUUAACUCCCAACUAUGAGAGAGAACAUGUGAUGUUUGCUUUUCUACUCUUGUGUUAGUUUGCUGAGAAUGGUGGUUUCCAGCUUCAUCCAUGUCCCUGCAAAGGACAUGAACUCAUCCUUUUUAUGACUGCAUCAUAUUCCAUGAUGUGUACAUGCCACAUUUUCUUUAUUCAGUCUAUCACUGGUGGGCAUUUGGUGUAGUUCAAAGUUUUUGCUCUUGUGAACAGUGCCAUAAUAAACAUAUGUGUGCAUGUGUCUUUAUAGUAGAAUAAUUUAUAAUCCUUUGGGUAUAUACCCAGUAAUGGGAUCGCAGGGUCAAAUGGUAUUUCUCAUUGUAGAUCCUUGAGGAAUUGCCAUACUGUCUUCCACAAUGGUGGAACUAAUUUACACUCUCACCAACAGUGUAAAAGUGUUCCUAUUUCUCCACAUCCUCUCCAGCAUCUGUUGUUUCCUGAUUUUUUUAAUGAUCACCAUUCUAACUGGUGUGAGAUGGUUUCUCAUUGUGUUUUUGAUUUGCACUUUUCUAAUGACCAGUGAUGAUGAGCUUUUUUUCAUGUUUGUUGGCUGCAUAAAUGUCUUCUUUUGAGAAGUGUCUCUUCACGUCCUUUGCCCAUUUUUGAUGUGGCUGUUUGGUUUUCUCUUGUAAAUUUGCUUAUGUUUUUUGCAGAUUCUGCAUGGUAGCCCAUUGUCAGAUGGAUAGAUUGCAGAAAUUUUCUCCCAUUCUGUAGGUUGCCUGUUCACUCUGAUGAUAGUUUCUUUUGUUGUGAAGAAGCUCUUUAGUUUUAUUUAUCUCAUUUGUCAAUUUUGGCUUUUGUUGCCAUUGUUUUUGGUGUUUUAGUCAUGAAGUCUUUGCCCACGCCUAUGUCCUGAAUGGUACUGCCUUGGUUUUCUUCGGGGUUUUUAUGGUUUUAAGUCUUACAUUUAAGUCUUUAAUCCAUCUUCAGUUAAUUUUUGUAUAACUAGUAAGGGAGAUGUCCAGUUUCAUUUUUUUUUCAUAUGGCUAUCUAGUUUUCCCAACACCAUUUAUUGAAUAAGGAAUCCUUUCCCGAUUACUUGGUUUCCUCAAGUUCUUCAAAGAUCAGGUGGUUGUAGAUGUUUGAUGUUAUUUCUGGGGCCUCUGUUCUGUUCCAUUUGUCAAUAUAUCUUUUUUGGUACCAGUACCAUUCUGUCUUGGUUAAUGUGGCCUUUUAGUAUAGUUUGAAGACAGCUAGCGUGAUGCCUUCACUUUUGUUCUUUUUGCUUAGGAUUGUCUUGUCUAUGCAUGAUCUUUUUUGAUUCCAAAUGACAUUUAAAGUAGUUUUUUUUAUCAUUCUGUAAAGAAAGUCAACGGGAGCUUGAUGGGGAUAGCACUGAAUUUAUAAAUUACUUUGGGCAGUAUGGCCGUUUUCACAAUAUUGAUUCUUCCUAUCCAUGAGCACUUAUUGUUUUCCAUUUGUUUGUGUCCUCUUUUAUUUCCUUGGGCAGUGGUUUGUAGGUCUACUUGAAGAGGUCCUUCCCAUCCCUUUUAAGUUGGAUUCCUAGGUAUUCUCUUUGUAGCAAUUGUGAAUAAGAGUUCAUGCAUGAUUUGGCUCUCUGUUUGUCUAUUAUUGUGUAUAGGAAUUCUUGUGAUUUUUGAACAUUGAUUUUGUAUCCUGAGACUUUUUUGAAGUUGCCUAUCAGUUUAAGGAGAUUUUGGGCUGAGACGAUGGGGUUUUCUAAAUAUACAAUCACGUCAGCUGCAAACAGAGACAACUUGAGUUCCUCUUCCUAUUUGAUUACGCUUUGUUUCUUUCUCUUGACUGAUUGCCCUGGCCAGGACUUCCAAUACUAUAUUGAAUAGGAGUGGUGAGAGAGGGUAUUCUUGUCUUGUGCAGAUUUUCAAAAGGAAUGCUUCAAGUUUUUGCCCAUUCAGUAUGAUAUUGGCUGUGCAUUUGUCACAAAUAGCUCUUAUUAUGUUGAGAUAAGUUCCAUCAAUACAUAAUUCAUUGAGAGCUUUUACCAUGAAGAGGUGUUGAAUUUUAUUGAAGGCUUUUUUUGCAUCUUGAGAUAAUCAUGUGGUUUUUGUCAUUUGUUCUGUUUAUGUGAUGGAUUACAUUUAUUGAUUUGCAUAUGUUGAACCAGCUUUGCAUCCCAGGGAUUAAGCUGACUAGAUCGUGGUGGAUAAGAUUUUUGAUGUGCUGCUGGAUUCGGUUUGCCAGUAUUUUAUUGAGGAUUUUCGCAUUGGUGUUCAUCAGGGAUACGGGUCAGAAAUUUUCCUUUUUUGUUAUGUCUUUGCCAAGUUUUGGUUUCAGGAUGAUGCUGGCCGCAUAAAAUGAGUUAGGAAGGAGUAUCUCUUUUUCUAUUGUUUGAAAUAGUUUCAGAAGGAAUGGUCCCAGCUCCUCUUUGUACGUUUGGUAGAAUUCAGCUGUGAAUCCUUCUGGUCCUGGACCUCUUUUUGUUGGUAGGCUAUUAAUUACAGCCUCAAUUUUAGAACUUGUUAUUGGCCUAUUCAGGGAUUCGACUUCUUACUGGUUUGGACUUGGGAGUGUGUAUGUGUCCAGGAAUUUAUCCAUUUCGUCUAGAUUUCCUAGUUAAUUUGCAAAGAGGUAUUUAUAAUGUUCUCUAAUGGUAUCUUUUAUUUCUAUGGGAUCAAUGGUUAUAUCCCCUUUAUCAUUUCCUAUUGCAUGCAUUUGAUUCUUCUCUUCUUCCUUAUUAGUCUGGCUAGCAGUUUAUUUAUUUCUUGAUCUUUUCAAAAAACCAGCUCCUGGAUUCAUUGAUUUUUUUGACGGGCUUUUGUGUCUCUAUCUCCUUCAGUUCUGCUCUGAUCUUAAUUAAUUCUUGUCUUCUGCUAGCUUUCGAAUUUGUUUGCUCUUGCUUCCCUAGUUUUUUUAAUUGUAAUGUUAUGGUGUCGAUUUUAGACCCUUUCUGCUUUCUCUUGUGGGCAUUUAGUGCUAUAAAUUUCCCUUUGCACACUACUUUAGCUGUGUCGUAUUUUACUUUUUAAGCCCUCAAUCUUUCUUUUUCAUCAUGAUACUCUUGACUGUUUUAUGUUUAUGUAAACUGUAAAAUUGACUACACAGUUUUUACAAAUAUUUUACCAAAAUAUUUUAUUGAGAAUGUACAAACCAGUCAGUGAAUUAGGGGAGAAGUUGCAUUGUAGUAAUAAAUAGCCACAAAACAAAACCCCGAAGGACAUCCAAACCAGAAUAAAACAAAACAUUUUAACAAAAACAAAAAGAACACACUGGCAACAAAUACGUGCAGUUUAUAUCACAAAGAUGCUCACAUCUCCACUCUAAAGAGAGCUUUUAGAAGUUGAUUUAAAAUAUGAGAAAAGGCAUUAUCCCACACUUCACAGAAAAAAUAAAUUUAAGCAGCUGUUAACACAUGAACAUAAUAUCAAGCUCAGAUAUAAUCAAAAUUAAAUAUUUGACAACAGAUUCUACAGUUUGAGAGAAAUAGAAAAGUGUUUUUUGUUUUCUCCAGGCCCACAAGUCUAGUUUCUUGGACUUCCUCACUAUAAUGGGGGUUGUCAUCAGAUCCCCAAAAUAUGGGAAACACAGAGCAGGUGGUGGCUGAAGGUGGGAUAUCCUGUGAAACCAUAUUUAAGUUCAGAGCCCUUGGUCCAUUGUAUUGCAAUCAGCUGGCUCAGGAAAGAAGACCUGGCUCUCCUGAGCUCUACACCUACUGCACUGGGUAUGUUAGGCAGCCUAAGAACCCCUGGGGCCCAAACCCAUCCCAUCCUAAUAUAUCAUCCAGUAUCGAGGACUCUGACACCAAAUUCUCCCAGAGCAUAUGCUUAUGCAGUUUUACAUUUAAUUUCUCAUUACAUUACAAUUGGGAAAGUGAGGCCCCAAAAGAGGCAGGGACUGAUCCAGAUCUCAGGAGGUGGGCAGGCUCCAGAGCAUUAGGGAGGGCUCCAGCUUCCUAGGCCUUGGCUCCAUCCCACCUAUCAGGUUUGCUUUGGAAGUUAGAGCCUGUAGCUUCACAUUCAGGGGCACAGAGAAUGAGCAGAUCCAGGGUUCUGUUCACAUGGGGACCUCUCCAUGUGAGUUUCAAGAUAACAGGACUGGGGUUUUGCAUCCAGCUCUGAGGGCACCUGGAAGUAAAAUGAGCUAUGCUCCACCUCAGCCUAAUGUAGACAAUGCCUACAGGAAAGCCUGUUUUCUUCCUCAUAAAUAGGAGUGCUUGAAGUGCGUGACCUCGAUGAUUUCACAUACUCAUAAGUGUCUGCCAGCCUGGGUUCUUGCUCUGAGACUGUGCAAAAAUGCAUCCACUCUCUUCCGGUCCUUCAAAUCAAAGGGAGGCAUGGCAGCUUCAGAGGCAUCUUGGGUAGAUGAAGAUGAGACGGAGCUAAAUAUGCCAGAGCAUUGGACUCUGAGGCUGAAGUCCACGGAAAAUCCCAGCUCCUGUUGGGCUCUUAAGGUCCUCAUUUGAAAGUGGUAGAAAAUAAUUUCACUGGAUAAGGGGAGGAUACCUCAUGAAUAAAUAGCACAACCUAAAAGGCAGAGGCAAACAGAAGGCAAAGGGGGAUUCCCAGGUCACUCAUUGUACUUGGGGCCUUCAGAUUCUGCUACUUUAUCCCCUAGGACCUUGAAGAACCAGUGUCUUGAGGACAGAAAAAUCAAGGUACCUGAUUUGUUCCAUAGUGCUCCUGCAUGGGGCUGUAGGGUUAGUGAUGGCCUGGAGGUGGUUACAGCCAGCUCUGUUUCUGGUGCCCACUGAGCUUUGCUGGAGCAGCUGGAACAAGUAAGAGUCACACACCUCAUGUUGUUAUCAAUGAUCUCCACAUUAUCAGGUGGUCAAAAGAGGAAGGGAUAUUAGAGAUCCCCCAUAUAAUCACUUAGCCAGUCUUUUUUCCCUUGUGCUCACCCUUUGCCAGCUAACCAGGUGGGUGCAACGUGGUACAGAAAAUUAUUACAUGAUGCCUGCACCCCCCAACUCAGGACCAAACAGUCUGAGGACAGCUGGACAAAAGCACUAAAGCAAGUAUAUGUGAAAGAAAAGAGCAAGGACUAUAAUAUAAAGUAGAAUGUUGAGAAGAAAAGCUGGAAAAUUAUUGCAUGGGAGGACCUAAGGCCUCACUGAGUUGACUUUUAAUCCAUGAUAAGGAUGACAACAGGGAGGUGUCUCUGCACAAGUAUGUGUCAGGAAGAAGCCACCCUUAGUGAAUAGGUUCAUAGGUGUGAGUUUGGCAGAGGUUAGAAAGGGACUAGUUUGGCUGCAGACAGCCUGAGGAAGAGAUAAGCAGAGGGCUGGAGAAUCCUAGGGCCUGGGAGAUGAGGUUAGAUAUCUGCUCCUUUCUGACAACUUUGCCCUAUAACUCAGCACUUUUCAACAACAUAUAAUAUCUCAUAAUGUGUGGACCAGAAUUUGGAUACAGUUCAGCUGGCUACCUCUGCCUUCAGGUCUUUUAUGAGAUUGGGGCUGUGGUCUUAACUGAAGCAGGACUGGGAAAGCAUCAGCCUUUAAGCUGACUCAUGUGAAAAUUGGUAGGGUUUAGUGUGGCUGGAGAGCCUGACUUUCCUUCUUUCUACUGGUCUGAGCACCCCCUCAGCUCUCUGUUAUGUGAGUCACUACAUGGAGCAUCUCAUAGCAUUGAAGCUUGCUUCCUGUGUUUGAGGAAUACAAUAUAGGGACAGAAUUAGACAAAAAGGUUUACACAAAAAGACACAGAGAGAGAAAAAUCGAGGGCACAAACAGGAAAAACCCAGUAGGAGAAAAAUGAGAGCUUUAGAAUAUCUUGACAGGGUGCGGUGGCUCACAACUGUAAUCCCAGCACUUUGGGAUGCUGAGACAGGUGGAUCGUCUGAGGUCACGGGAUUGAAACCAGCCUGGACAACGUGGUGAAACCACGGUCUCUUCUAAAAAUACAAAAUGAGCCAGGUGUGGUGGCACAUGCCUGUAAUCCCAGCUACUUGGGAGACUGAUGCAGGAGAAUCAUUUGAACCUGGGAGGUGAAGGUUCCAGUAAGCCGAGAUCACACCACUGCACUCCUGCCUGGGAUACAAGAGCGAAACUGUGUCUCAAAAAAAAAAAAAAAGGAAAAAAAAUCUUGAGAGUUAAAAUAAUUUUUCUCCUAUAUUUGUGUUAAAAUUGUAACCCCUGGUGUAAUGCUGUAAGGAUGUAAGAUGUAAUUAACUCCCGUGGGUGGGACCCUCAUUAUAGAGAUUACCGGCUUUAUACAAGAAACCACAGAGGCCUCUCAUCCUCCUACUGCAAAAUGAGGAUAAAACUUGAGGUGUGCAGUCUGAAAUUCAGAAGCUAGUCAUCACCAGAGCUCAACCAUGCUGACAACCUGAUCUCAAAUUUCGAACCUCUAGAAGUAUGAGAAAUUAAGUACUGUUGUCUGUAAGCUGCCUAUCUAUGGUUCUUUGGCAUAGCAGCCUGAAGUAAUAGAAAAGUGAUAUCCUUCUCUGUAUUUCAUUGGACAGAAGCUGAAUUUGUACCACUACACUGUUAAAAAAAAGACUUAAAAUGGAUUUUCAUAAUGAAAGAUAGGAAACGGCUUGUUGAAACACUAAAAUUUUAUCGGCUUAUAAGAUUUUUGAACAUUGGCUGAAAUUGUUGGAACCAAUAUGGCUAAAUGAAGUCCAUGAAGAACCAGUUUGCAGAUGUUAGAGCCCAAAUUUCCAUUGUGUGUUUCAUACUAACUCUCCCUGAAUUUGCAUGUCACCUGAGAGGAAGCAAGAAGAGAUGACUGUGUAUGUCUCAUGACUUUCCAUAUUCCUACUUUCCUUCCAGCAAUCCCUUAUAGAACCCACCUCUUAGGCCUUUUCUAAUCACUGUCUUGAAGCCAGUAUAAGAAAACAAAUUUCAGCUGGACUGCUAUCUCCUUGUUGGCCAACCUACAACAUGAUAUUUUCCUCAAAACCCAAGGGCCAUACUACUGGCAUCAGGCAGUAGGCCAUUUUAUUCAAUAAAAAAUGGAGUCACUCACCACCUAGUACUGGGAGGCUUUGUGAAGACUUCCCCUGUCACAGGUGUGAUAAGGCACAUGGAUAUGAUUCUAAAUAUACAGAGAAAGCACUAGAAAGUUGAAUGGCUGUAUUAUGUCAUUGUCAUACUGCAAUGAUGAAGUACCUGAGACUGGGUAAUUGAUAAAGAAAAGAAGUUUAAUUGACUCACAGUUCCACAUAAUUGGGGGAGCACCUCAGAAACCUUCCAAUUACAGUGGCUGACAAGUGAAGUGAGUGAGGGCAUGGGAUGUACCAGAUGCUUAUGAAACGAUCAGAUCUCAUGAGAACUCACUAUCGCAAGAACAGCAUGAGGAGAACCCGUCCCCAUAAUCCAAUCCUCUCCCCUCAGGUUUCUCCCUAAACACCUGGGGGUUAUAAUACACAGAGGAGUUUGGGUGGGAUACACAGCUAAACUAUAUGAAUGCCAGAGGACAAUAUCUACAUUUAAUUUCAACUCCAUACUGGAGCAGAAUGAAAAUGAGGCCCAGUGGAGAAGUGACAUUCCCAAGAUCACCCUGCCAGACCCAGGACUGUUUGAGUUGUGGCCCAUGCUACCUCCCAGCUUUUCUCCUAAUGCUUCCAUCUCUAAGUGUGUGCAUUAUCUACAGGUAACACCACAUCAUGAUUUUUAUGUUUUAUCUUAUAUACACUUAAUACGAUCCCUAGGAAGUAGAUGUUAGCAUCAUCCCCACUGUGCAUGCUAGGAGGCUGGGGAAGCCUCGAAUACACAGUGACUUUUAUUGGGUCCCAGAGCUGGUAAGAAAAACAAGUUUAUGUUCCAGCUGUCUCUUAUAUCCUGGAACCUAGGCUGCAUUUAGUUCUUUCCAGGGAAUUAAGGGGAAGUUGUGUUUGCAUAAUUGUGUACAAAUGAAGAGUUGACAUUGAAGAGGAGACUGAGCAGUUAGUAGCAUAGUGGGACCUUUGGGUAGGUCUUACAGAAAGAAGGGGCCCAGUAGAUGGAACCUUGAAGAGUUUAACACACUUUCUUGGUGACAAAAUCCAACAGCAGUUAAGAAACCAGGAACCCACAUCGUUGAGACAGCUCUGUAUCCACCUCUGUUAGUGAGAGAUGCUCAAGAGAGUGAGAUGUUCUUUCAUUGUGCCCUGAAAUUUCUGAGUUUUGGCCUUACAAAGGCUCAAUGUAAAAGUCUUAUCUGAAAACACGGAUGUCAACUCAGCCCUCAUCACUGAUGUCCCUGGCUAUUGGUCGAGUGCACCUACAAAUAACACAGGGCAGCCCAGGACAGGCCCUUCCACGUGAGUCCUCUCUUGUCAACUCAUCUGGGCCGUCCCACACCACUUCUUAGUACCAUGAGUUGUAUGGGGAGCAAGAGGGAGGGCACUCUUCUUGGACUGAAGCAGAUUGUCAGGUGUUGGAACUCUUGUGUACCUGUCAUGUUCAUACCUAGGCCAAAGCUGUCAGAAUAAAAAGAAGAGGGUUGAAGACCGAGUCUGUGUACUCAGAUGUGAAUUCCAAGACUUUAACUUGUCCUCUGGUUUCCUUCCUUGCUGGAGAUUUAUACAGAUUCUCCUUAUGUGCCUAAUCUGAAGAGCAGAAUUUCUUUUCUUUUCUUUUCUUUUCUUUCUUUUCUUUUCUUUUCUUCUUUCUUUCUUUCUCUUUUUUUUUUGAGGAAGUCUCUCUCUGUCACCCAGCCUGGAGUGCAGAGAAAAGCAGAAUUUCUAGUGGAGGUGUCACAUAUGGUGAAAACAAGGCAGACCACUGAUUUUUCUUUGCGUGGUUUCUAGGCACGUUUUUCAGAGCUGCGUUCAGAUUGAUGAGGAGCUGUUUGAUGUGGCCAACUCCACCCUCUUUUUGGAAAAAGAGCAGGUGCACUAAACCAGCAACCACAGCCAGCAUCGGGCUGUGGUAAGAGCAGCCACAUAGGGGUCUCUACAGACAGAAACCCGAGAAGACCGGGACAGACCCAGUACCCAGACUCAUAUAGGAAAACUCUCUGGGCUGUGUCCUAUGGCCUUCCCAUGAGUAACUGAUAGUCUUGAUCCAGUGGAAUCUGGCCUACAUUAGUGUCAGUUGCAAGUUGGUUAUGUGGAAAGUCUCUGUUCACUCAACUUGUGUGAAUAACAGUAAAGGCCUUUCUAUUGUUUUCACUUUGCAUUAGGCCAUGAGUAUUUGUGCCUGUGGCUGCAGUUUGUAUUAGUUUCUUGCCCCAGGUAUCUGCUGCAGCAUGCAGCUUCAGUCCUACCAGACCCUCAAAACUUAAAAGCUAACACUAUUACUAGGGAGGAUUUCACAGGAAAAUGGAGAAAGGGUUACACACAAAAAAGGUUAAACUUUUCUAUGCAUGUUUCUGCAAUGUGUUAUCUCAAGAACUCAUCUCUGUAGCCCAUCAGGGCAGGGGCUGGGCUCUCACCUUUUGAUAAUAUUCCAUAAGGGAGGUUCUUCCCCACAGUGUUUAGUCUUCCGACGCUGGUACAGCCUGACAUGAUGACAUUCUACUUUCAUGUCGGUCAUGCUGCAGGGAAUAUUCUGUGAGUGUCUUAAGAGGCUGGACUCAUUUGCUAGGGUGAACCUCAUCUUUGGUGCUCACUUUUCUGUUAUCUCAUAAUUAGCUUUAUUCUAAGCAAAUCUAUGUCUAUUUUAUUUAUCUGUUUACUUAUUUUUAUGUAUGGAAAAACGCAUUUUUAAAUUUACUUAUUUAUUUAGAGACAGGGUGUCCCUUUGUCACCCAAGCUGGAGUACAGUGGUAGAGUGUUGUGAUCAUGGCUCAUUGCAGCCUCAAACUCUUGGGUUCAAAUGAUUGUCUCACCUCAGCUUCCUGUGCUACCAUGCCCUGCUAGUUGAUUUUAAUUUUUUAUAAAGAAAGAGUCUCAUUAUGCUGCCCAGGCUGGUCUCAAACUCCUGGGCCCAAGCAGUUCUCUCAUCUCAGCCUCCCAAAACACUGGGAUUAAAAACAUGAGCCACUGUACUGAGCUGUGCCUACUUCAAAAGACUGAAAAUAAAAAAUCGAUAAAUCUUUGCCAAAUUAAAAAUAAAGCAAUAGUUUCCAGGUCUUAGAUAAAGACAAUUCUUUGUCAUGAAGAAUGACAAAAGGCUUAUUUAGCUGUUAAAAUGAUUUGCUUAUAUUUCAAAGAAGCAGAGAAAAAAAGGUACAUAUACAAGUUUUCCAGGCCAGGCAUGGUAGUUCCUGCCUGUAAUCCGAACAUUUGGGGAGGGCAAGGCAGGAGGUUCCCUUGAAGCCAAAUAUUUGAGUCCAGUGCAGGCAACAUGGUGAAAUUCUGUCACUACAAAAAAAUAAAAUAAAAUAAAAUAAAUAUGGCUGGGCAUGAUGGCCUACACCUGUAAUCCCAGCACUUUGGGAGUUGGAGGCAGGUGGAUAAUGAGGUCAGGGGUUUGAAACCAGCCUGGCCAAAAUGGUGAAACCCAUUCUCUACUAAAAAUAAUAAUAAUAAUAUAUUAACCAGGCAUGGUGGUGUGCCCCUGUAAUCCCAGCUACUCAAAAGAUUGAGGAAGGAGAAUUGCUUAAACCUGGGAGGUGGAGGUUGCAUUGAGACAAGAUCAUGCCACUACACUCCAGCCUGGUCCACAGAGCAAGACACUGUCUUGAAAAAAAAAUAAAAACAAAAAUAAAUAAAGCUAGCCAGGCAUGGUGGUUCAUGCCUAUAUUCCUAGGUAAUUAAGAGGUUGAGGCAGGAGGACUGCUGAAACCCAAGAGGUUAAGGUUACAGUGAGCUAUGAUUAUGCCAUUGCACUUCAGGGUAAGUAAAAGAGUAAGAUUCUGUCUCAAAAAAUUAAUAAUGAAAUUUUUCUAAAUUACAUUGUUUAAGAAAAGGGAAAAAAAUCUUUUUUUAUUUUCAAAUGGGAGAAUAGAGCCUCUCAUUUCUAAUUUGUAUUUCCUUCUGCAAAAACUUGGUCUAGGCCCAUGAUCUUGAACUACUGGACAUCUGGAUUUUAGUAGGUGCUGGAUUCAGGCAACUGAGGGGUGGCCUUGUGCACACUGUGUGCACAUAAAAUAAAGAGUUUGAGGUGUACUAAAAGGUAAAAGAGGGGAAGGUGCUAUUAAGAACCCACAAUUGGGAGACAGUACAGGGUUGGUGGAAGGACUGGUUCAUGCUAUGGAUACUGACCCAGGUGAAACUUUCCUCUGAGUUAUUUCUAUGUCCAUGCAGGAAGACGAGAUUAUGAUCAGGUGGCACAGAAACCUGGGAUGGUGAAAAAAACAGGUUGCCACUGCAGAUUCGGUGUCUAAGAUAGAACAUAUGCCAGGGAUCUUGUAGGCAUGUGUGUGGGUUUUUGGUGGGAAAGUCUAUGAGGAAAAGUAGCAUGGGCAAAAAUCUUGAUGCCAGAGACCUGUGCUGGGAGGGGCUUGAUCACAUCAACACGCAGUGCGUAUGUUCAGUGGGUGAAAGAUAUGUGGUGGCCUCAGGUUGGCAGGAGGGUAGAAGGCAUCUGUUCUCAGAACUUCUUCCCUCAGAGUCCUCGGUCCUUCUCACCGUGGGAGGAUGCCUGGAACCAUAGGGCAGUGCAUGGUGUAGCAGCCUGUGUGCAGAGCAGAGCCUACCUUCCCCAAGAUACCUGGAGUCUCUCUCCAGCAGAGGCUCCACAUUGUCUUUCUUCUUACAACAAUUUUGAUCCUAAAUGUGUAAAGUUCCCUGAAAACCCACUGAUUCUCCAACAUCCAUUUGUUGCCCAAAAAUUUAAUUCUGACACCACUUAGAGUUUGCACAGAUCCCACAAAUUCAGGGCUCAGUCCCACAUCACCGCUCUCACUGCAGAGGAGAGUCACAUAUCCCAGAAGCCCAUCUAUACUUCUGAGCUACCUCCUAUAAAUCUGAGACUCCCAUAAACCCCUUUUCAAGUUAAAUAAUUUGAUAGAAUUACUCAAAAAAAACUCAACAAAUAAGGCUAAUUAUAUUUACUACUUUAUUAUAAAAAUAUAACUCAGAAACUGCCAAAUGGAAGAGAUGUCUAGGACAAGGAACAGUUGUGGGUGAAGGUAAUCCUUGAAAUAGCUAUAUUUAAAGAAAUUCCCCCAUUCUUUGUGUUCUCAAAGAACAGCUUAGUGAAGAGAACGUGCUUCCCAUUAUGACUUUGUGGAUGUUCUCCCCCUUUUUUUUAACCUAUCACAAAGAUGGACACAGAUUGCAAAUUCCCAUUUUUAAAAAUGAACAACCAUUCUGUAAUUUAGUCUUCAGUGGUCAAAACAGAGUACUUGUUAACAAAACUUUGCUUGUUCCUCUUCUUCCCUCAGCCCCUGAACUUUGACUCACCCACAGCCUCAGAGAACCUACAACCCAUACUUAUACACAUCCCUCCUAAGAACAGGCUGACUUCAAGGUGAAACAUUAUCUUAUCUGGGAUCUGAUUUUGCUACCCUCCAUCCUGUGCUUCCCUUCCAACCUUCUUUGUAAACUUGUUUUCUCCUUCCUAGGAAAUAAAGCCCUUUUCCGCCUAACCUUUGAGAUCCCCAAAGAUCUAAUCAUUUGUACUUUUUCUUUGUUGCAACACUUCUUAAGUAACUUCUUAGACAAAGCCUAGAAACAGUCUCAGGACAAUAACAAUUCUAUUCAAGAAAGAAUCUCCCAACAUUUCUUCUAUCUCAAUCUCAACUGCAUCUGCCUGUGAACUUCCAACUUACCAAAGCUCUGUAUCUUCUGACAGUGACAAAGGCUUCUUCCAUGGUUGGUGUCAGCAGGCUUCGAUACCUGCAGGACAGACACUCAGGAAUAAUCAACUGGGCCAUCAGUGGCCCCCUUUUGCAGGGUCACCGUUAGCCUUAGCUUUUAGUCAAUGGUCUAAGACUUCUACUUCCCAAUUAGUCAUUCAGUUAGUUUUCAAUUUAAAAAAUACUUCAUGUUUGAAGAAUCCAGCAAAAAUUAUUCAAAUCUAAGGUUUAAAAGAGAGGAAAUUAUGGCCAGGCAUGGUGGCUAAUGACUGUAAUCCCUGCAUUUUGGGAGGCCGAGGUGGGCAGAUUACCUGAGGUCAGGAGUUCGAGACCAGCCUGAUCAACAUGAAGAAACACCCUCUCUACUAAAAAUACAAACUUAACCGGGGGUGGUGGUGUAUUCCUGUAAUCCCAGCUACUUGGGAGGCUGAGGCAGGAGAAUUGCUUGAACCCGGGAGGUGGAGGUUGCAGUGAGUCAAUAUCGUGCCAUUGCACUCCAGACUGGGCAACAAGAGUGAAACUAAGUCUAAAAAAUAAAAUAAAAAUAAAAAAAGAAAAUUAUAAGGGGCUUACAUUUUAUAACUCAACAAGAAAAGCCAAAGUAUCUACCCCUUUCAGAAAAUAAACAUGUAAUUUAAUUAUGUUCAAAACAAAUCAUUUAGUAAACAAUUAAUCAUAUGUGAACACUUCCAGGAGGUGCCAAGUCCCAGCUCCUAAAACUUAGCAUUAACCUCAAACACCCAGAUAGCAGCAUAUGGAACAGAGAUAUUCACUUUCACAAAUUCUCUGUUUUGAAAAAAAGAACAACUGAUGUAAUAAAUGUAUGUAAUUUGACAAUUAAUCUACCUCAUGUGCUUGUAGAUAUGUAUUCAUUUCCUACCACAGUAGUGGAAGAGAGACUAUCACUGUCUUUAACAUUUCCAACAGUAAGCCAUGAGAUUCUGCUUGAAAUCACCUCUCAAACAAAUAAAAAACAGAACUGGGAAAGAUACUAUGCUCAUUCUGUUAAAGAAAUAGGCAAGUAACAAUUUUUAACAAGUGAAAUAUAUUACUACUUAAUUUUAUUCAAAAUUCACCAACUUAAUGUGCUUUAUAAAUAUUUUCAUACCUUUCAAGCUCUACUGAUAAAAACAUAAUUUACAUUUAAUUAAAAAGUGAAUUUAAACUAAGUACAAAAAUAUUUUCAAGGUGACAAACUUAGGAGGUGACAAUGCCAAUUGAAACACAGACAUAUCAGACCCAAGUGUCAAGUCAAGCCAUUCUAUAACUUGGGAUAUUUUCCCCACUCACAUCUGGUUCAGUGAAGUGGGUGAUGAGCGUCCUACCAGGAGCCGCUGCGCUGUGCUCCACUGUGUCUGUGAGGUGCAUUUUACUUUGCAGGUUUUUGCACUGCCUCACCGGGUUGGGUUUCUUUGUGCUUUGAAAUAUUUUCUCUCCCUUCACCAUUCUGAGGACAUUUUUUCCUCAAUAUCAGCAUCCAUUUGCCUGGCCUGCAAUGUGUCUCUAAGGAAUGGAAACUAAUCUUUGGGGUAAGAAAAUCUUAAUGUCCUAAGGGGUUUGCUUUUAGUGCAAGGGUAUACCUGGAGAUUCCUUCCAGGCACAGCUCAUCCAACCACUCCACAGAGAGGCUGCAUUCCCAUACCUUGGGCUGUUCCCUGAGAGGAGGUGACACAAGGGAUGCUAUUUACUAGACACCUCAAGAGUCAUGGCCACUGUUGGCAUCUUUGGGAAUUCUCAAGCAGUUUUGAAACUCAAAACCAAGAAAAUAACAGGAUGGCUGAGGAUGUAUUGCCCUGUGAAGUUUCCAAAAUGAAACCUCAACCCAAAGACAUUCUGAUGGGGUGUCUGUGCCAAGGGAAGAUUAAAGAAAGGGACACAAAGGUUUUCUGCGUUUUAUUUUUUUUUUUACAGUGGGGUGUCAGGGGAUUAUUCUCUGCUUUCAUCUCCUGUAAAAUGUUUACAAAUGAAAUUUUUUUAAAUGACGUCCACUGCUUUUUGACAAAAUGAAGAAUUAAAAUACUGUGUCUGAAAUGUACAGUAAAGAACAGUUGAUAAUGUUGUGGAUUAUCGAAGGUUAGUUAUUGUUGGUAAGUGUCAGGAAAGAACUGGAAAUUUAAAAUCCGAUUGCAAGCCAGAGUUAGGCUGGGGCAACAGGGAGGUAGAUUUGAGUCUCUGCCUGCCACACGUUUGGAAAAUGCAUCAGAAAACUAGUUCUCUUUUGGAGUGUUAAAAUAACUAAAAAACAGGUGAUUAUGUUGAGGUGGCUCUAGUGUCCUGAGCUCUGAGUGGAGAGACAGGCCAAGGCCCCCCUAGUUCCAAAAAUCUGCCCAUUCUUCUCCAGCUGUGCACCUGAUUAUAUAGUUUCCACUCCGGCACCCAUGAUUGGAUAUAGUUCAAAUCCCUACCCUGCCCCCUCAGGCCAUGAGUGACAUAUGUGAUUUGACACUGGGUUGAAUAAAGCAAGAAUUACAGGUUUUCCCUGGAUUCUUUUCUGGCAGGGCUUCCUCCGUGAACUAGAAACUGGCCCUGCCUGUAAAAUAUUUGCAUUUACAUUUGUAUGUAAGAUUAUUUGUAUUAAUGAAUAAUAUAUAUGUGUUAUUCAUACAUGGAAACAAUAUAAUGAGAAUUAUUUUAAAAUUUCAGAUGUUUUACUUUCCUGGUACAUCUAGGCUUUAGAGCAGGCAGCCUGAGAUUUAAAAGGGAGGCAAUUCUCUAAGAAAUAAUAUGUGAGGCACAUGCGAAUUUUAAAUAUUCUAGUAGCUACAUUUUAAUAAAUACACCGGGCGUGCUUGCCUAUGCCUGUAGGUCGAACUAUUAGGGAGACUGAGGUGGGAGGAUCACUUGAGACCAGGAGUUUGAGAUCAGCCCUGGCAACAUAGAGAAAGCCAUUUCUACAAAAAAAAAAAAAAAUAUUGAAAAAUUA